rnacentral:rRNA from 1 species
UGAGGAAUAUUGGUCAAUGGACGAAAGUCUGAACCAGCCAUGCCGCGUGAAGGAUGAAUGCCUUAUAGGUUGUAAACUUCUUUUGUAUAGGGUGAACUUUUCGAACGUGUUCGAAAUUGACGGUACUAUACGAAUAAGCACCGGCUAACUCCGUGCCAGCAGCCGCGGUAAUACGGAGGGUGCAAGCGUUAUCCGGAUUUAUUGGGUUUAAAGGGUGAGUAGGCGGAAUUAUAAGUCAGUGGUGAAAUCUUGCAGCUUAACUGUAAAACUGCCAUUGAUACUGUUAUUCUUGAAUAUAGUUGAGGUAGGUGGAAUGUGUAAUGUAGCGGUGAAAUGCUUAGAUAUUACACAGAACCCCGAUUGCGAAGGCAGCUUACCAAACUAUCAUUGACGCUGAGGCACGAAAGCGUGGGGAUCAAACA